rfam:Capsicum annuum cultivar Zunla-1 unplaced genomic scaffold scaffold669, whole genome shotgun sequence
CUCAUGGAGAGUUCGAUCCUGGCUCAGGAUGAACGCUGACGGCAUGCUUAACACAUGCAAGUUGGAUAGGAAACACGGGAAAUGGUGUUUCUAGUGGUGGAUGGUUGAUUAACGCGUAAGAACCUACCCUUGGGAGGGGAAAAAUAGCUGGAAACGGCUGCUAAUACCCCAUAGGAUGAGGAGCAAAAGGAGGAAUCCGCCCGAGGAGGGGGUCGCGUCUGAUUAGCUAGUUGUUGAGGCAAUAGCUUACCAAGGUGAUGAUCAGUAGCUGGUCCGAGAGGAUGAUCAGCCAUAUUGGGACUGAGACAUGGCCCAAACUCCUAUGCGAGACAGCAGUGGGAAAUUUUCCACAAUGGGCGAAAGCCUAACGGAGCAAUGUCGCGUGGAGGUAGAAGGCCCACGAGUUGUGAACUUCUUUUCUUAGAGAAGAAGUAAUGACGGUAUCUGGGGAAUAAACAUCAUCUAACUCUGUGCCAACAGUCGCGGUAAUACAGAGGAUGCAAGCAUUAUCCAGAAUGAUUGGGCGUAAAGCAUCUGUAGGUGGCUUUUUAAGUCCGUCGUCAAAUCCUAGGGCUCAACCCUGGAUAGGCGGUGAAAACUACCAAGAUGGAGUACAGUAGGGGUAGAGGGAAUUUUUGGUAGAGCGGUGAAAUGUGUAGAGAUCAGAAAGAACACCAACGGCGAAAGCACUCUGCUGGGGCGACACUAACACUGAGAGACGAAAGCUAGGGGAGCGAAUGGGAUUAGAUACCCCAGUAGUCCUAGUCGUAAAUGAUGGAUACUAGGCACUAUGCGUAUCGACCCAUUAAGUGCUGUAGCUAACGCAUUAAGUAUCCCGCCUGGGGAGUACGUUAUCAAGAAUGAAACUCAAAGGAAUUAAUGGGGGCCCGUACAAGCGGUGGAGCAUGUAGUUUCAUUUGAUGUAAAACGAAGAACCUUACCAGGGCUUGACAUACCGCGAAUCAUCUUAAAAGAGAGGGGUGCCUUCGAGAACACGAACACAGGUGGUGCAUGGCUGUCGUCAUCUCGUGCCAUAAAUUGUUGGGUUUAGUCCUGCAACAAGCACAAUCCUCGUGUUUAGUUGCCAUCAUUGAGUUUGGAACCCUCAACAGACUACCGGUGAUAAGCUGGAGGAAGGUGAGGAUAACGUUAAGUCAUUAUGCCCCUUAUGCCCUGGUCGACACAUGUGCCACAAUGUUCAGGACAAAGGGUCACGAUCCCGCGAGGGUGAGCUAACCGCAAAAACCCAUCCUUAGUUCGAUUGCAGGCUGCAACUCGUCUACAUGAAUCCAGAAUUGCUAGUAAUCAUCGGUCAGCCAUACGGCGGUGAGUUCAUUCCUGGGCCUUGUACACACUGGCCGUCACACUAUGGGAGCUGGCCAUGCCCGAAGUCGUACCUUAACCGUAAGAAGAGGGAUACCGAAGGCAGGGCUAGUGACUGGAGUGAAGUCGUAACAAGGUAGCCGUACUGGAAGGUGCGGCUAGAUCACCUCCUUU